rnacentral:lncRNA from 1 species
GUCAGUUUGGGUCAUCUGUCCUGGUUUUGUUCUCUCACAACUCCCUGUGCACUCCCCGCCUGCCUUGAUGGUGAGACAGUACAAGACGCUAAGAAAACUGAAAUGUCCUCAGCUCUUUGCAGCACUGCUCAGCAACAACUAAAACAUCAAUGUUACAUCAACAUCAUUUUUCACCUAAAGCCAAAACAUAGGAUAAUACCGACCACUAUGAAGAAAAUCAACUAAUUCCCAGAUGAAAUAAGGACAUUUUUCAUGGUAAUUCCAGCGAUGAAAAGCAGAACAUCACUACAGUUUACCUACUAUGAUGGAGAAUAUUUUGGAAGCUAUCUGUUUGGUCAAGGAAAAGUGACACAGUAUUCUAAGGAAGCACUGAUGUGUUAUCUACUAAUAGCCUGCUUCUCAGAAAAUAAAACAGAAAGACCUACAGGUCCAGCAGGAAGUCCAUUUGCUACGCACUUCACAAGGAAGUCCAUGCAACUGAUAUUCCUAUCAGAGUUCAAAACAAUGAAACGUCAAUCAAAAAAUAGAAGAUCUUGGAAGGCAACAGCUGAACUCAAACAACCCUUCUAUUCAAGUCUGGAACACAGCCAGUGUCAGUAUCUUAAAAGUGGAAAAAGAAGAGAUAUGGAUCUAUUCGAGUGCAUUCAGAGGAGGACCACAAAAAUGAUCCAAGGAAUGGAACACCUCCCCUAUGAGGAUGGACUGGAAGAGCUGGGGCUGUUCAGCCUGGAGAGGAGAAGGCUCCAGGGAGACCUGAGAGCGACUUUUCAGUAUAUAAAAGAGGGCUGUGAGAAAGAAGGGGGUGGACUCUUUAGCAGGGUCUGUGGUGACAGGAUGAGGGAAAAUGAUUUCAAACUAGAAGAGAUGAGAUUUAGACUUUAUAUAAAGGAAAAGUUUUUUACAGUAAGGCUAGUGAGAAUACUGGAAUAUGUUGUCCAGAAAGACAGUGAAUGCUCCAUCCCUGGCAACACUCAAGGUCAGGCUGGAUGGGGCUCUGAGCUCUGGAUCGUGCUGAAGGUGACCCUGUUCAUUGACGGGGAGUUGGACUAGAUGACCUUUAAAGGUCCCUUCCAACUCUAAGGAUUGUACGAUUCUGUGAUUCUAUCAAUGUAAAUGGCAAAAAUAACCUCUUCAAAACUUUUUUUUUUUUUUUCAGAAAAGAAAAGGAAAGGAGAGGAA